AGGCUGGCUGUGGGUGUGAGGCAGCAGAGGCUUGUGUGUGUCCACCAUGGCCUGGACCGUGCUCCUCCUCGCCCUUCUUGCUCACUGCGCAGGUUCCUGGGCCCAGGUUGUGUUCACUCAGCCUCAGUCUGUGUCGGGGUCACUGGGGGAGACGGUCUCCAUUUCCUGCACCCCCAGCAGUGGUGACAUUAACGAUGCAUAUGUGUCCUGGUACCAGCAGCUCCCAGGCAGGGCUCCCACACUCGUGAUCUAUGAUGAUGAUCAGAGAGCCUCGGGGGUUCCUGAGCGGUUCUCUGGCUCCAUCGACAGCUCGUCCAACUCUGCCUCCCUGACCAUCUCUGGGCUGCAGGCUGAGGACGAGGCUGACUACUUCUGUCAGUCUUAUGAUAGUGGUAGUUACACAGUGCUCCAGCCCUACGGGGAAGUGAGACAAAAACUCACCCAGGCAGCCCACUCUUCGUCUCCUGUCAUCUGUUCUCCAUUAGUGAGGGUGGCACUUUUGGGUGUCCUUGUUGCAUGUAUGAGCAGAAAUUUGCUUUAG